UUGGGGUCUAUUGGGGUCUCCAUGGUUCGCUUAAAGAAACCCUUACAGCCCUCGCAGCUGUACACGCCGUAGUGCUUGCCUAUGGGGGGCAAUGGAGGUUAAUAGGGUCAAUGGGGUCUUCAUUGGGGUCUAUUAGGGUCAUUAGGGUCUAUUAGGGUCAUCAUUGGGGUCAUUAGGGUCUAUUGGGGUCUAUUGGGGUCUACUGGGGUUGUAGGGAUCGUCAUUGGGGUCAUUAGGGUCUAUUAGGGUCAUUAGAGUCUAUUAGGGUCUAUUAGGGUCAUUAGGGUCUAUUAGGGUCUACUAGGGUCAUCAUUGGGGUCCUUAAGGUCAUAAUUAGGGUCUAUUGGGGUCUAUUAGGGUCAUUAUUGGGGUCAUUAGGGUCUAUUAGGGUCAUCAUUGGGGUCUACUGGGGUCAUUAAGGUCUAUUAGGGUCAUCAUUGGGGUCAUUAGGGUCUAUUAGGGUCAUUAGGGUCUAUUAGGGUCAUCAUUGGAGUCAUUAGGAUCAUAGGAGUCAUCACUGGGGCCAUAGGAGUCAUCAUUGGGGUCAUUAGGGUCAUUAUUGGGGUCAUUAGGGUCUAUUAGAGUCAUUAUUGGGGUCAUUAGGGUCAUUAUGGUCAUCAUUGGGGUCUAUUAGGGUCUAUUAGGGUCUACUGGGGUUGUAGGGAUCGUCAUUGGGGUCAUUAGGAUCAUAGGAGUCAUCAUUGGGGUCCUUAAGGUCAUCAUUGGGGUCAUUAGGGUCUACUAGGGUCUAUUAGGGUCUAUUGGGGUCAUUAGGGUCAUCAUUGGGGUCUAUUGGGGUCUAUUAGGGUCUAUUAGGGUCAUCAUUGGGGUCUAUUGGGUCAUUAGGGUCAUCAUUGGGGUCAUUGGAGCCAUCAUUGGGUCAUUGAGACCAUCAUUGGGGUCAUUAGGGUCUAUUAGGGUCAUCAUUGGGGUCUAUUAGGAUCUAUUAGGGUCAUUAGGAUCUAUUGGGGUCUAUUAGAGUCAUCAUUGGGGUCUAUUAGGGUCUAUUAGGGUCAUUAGGGUCUAUUAGGGUCAUCAUUGGGGUCAUUAGGGUCUAUUGGGGUCAUUAGGGUCUAUUAGGGUCAUUAGGGUCUAUUAGGGUCAUCAUUGGAGUCAUUAUGAUCAUCAUUGGGGUCAUUAGGGUCUAUUGGGGUCAUCAUUGGGGUCAUUAGGGUCAUUAUUAGGGUCAUUAGGGUCUAUUAGGGUCUAUUAGAGUCAUCAUUGGGGUCUAUUGGGGUCUAUUAGGGUCUAUUGGGGUCAUUAUUGGGGUCUAUUGGGGUCAUUAGGGUCUAUUUGGGUCAUCAUUGGGGUCUAUUGGGGUCAUUAGGGUCUAUUAGAGUCAUUAUUGGGGUCAUUAGGGUCAUUAGGGUCUAUUCAGG
rnacentral:lncRNA from 1 species